CUACGGGAUGCAGCAGUCGCGGAACUUUUACAAUGCACGCAAGUGUGAUAAAGCAAACCAAAGUGCUAUUCUUUUUGAAUAGCUUUUUCUCUAUGUAAAAAUUAGGGAGAAUAAGGACUGGGAAAGACCGGUGCCAGCCGCCGCGGUAAUACCGGCAGUUCAAGUUGCAUCCAGUUUUAUUGGAUCUAAAACAUCCGUAGCUUGCCGUUUAAGUCUCUUGUGAAAUCCUACGUCUCAAGCGUGGUGAAGUGCAGGAGAUACUGGAUGGCUAGAGAUCGGUAGACGUAAGAAGUACGCGACGGGUAACGGUCAAAUGUGUUAAUCCGUCGUGGACUAACAAUCAGCGAAGGCAUCUUACGAGGACGAAUCUGACAGUGAGGGAUGAAGGCCAGGGGCGCAAAACGGAUUAGUACCCCAGUAGUC
rnacentral:rRNA from 1 species